CUUUCUGUUUCAAAACCUCUUUGCAUUUAGGGUCAAAUGCUGGUCAUACUGCUGUCCAGUGAGAAUUUUGAUGGAAUCUGGAUUUAGGCUGUAAGAGCCUGACUUUCAGCCACGAGAUUUCAAUGCAGAGAACCACACUUUGAAAAAUUGGAAUUGGACAUGUACUGUCAUAUUGUUUGGGCCAGGUGGCGAAGACUCCAGCACAGGGAAAUUUAAACUGAUCUCUAACUGGUCUCAUAACCAAUGAACACUUUAUUUCAACGUGCUUGCCUCAGAUGGAUCCACAAGAACUACAAGCCUCAGUACAUUGUUAAAAGAUAGAGGAAUAAUCCUAAGUCUUUACUCUGAUUAACUCCCAGUGACUAUAAUGAGUGGUUAGACUAAGGGCCAAGUUUAAACCAAAUAAAGAUUCAGAAUUUGGAGCAUG